CCUCACUUAUUUUCUCUCUUCCCCUUGUCGUGCUUCCCUUCUCCCUCCUCUUUAUACCGAGCUUCCUUCCUCUCUUCACUUGGCUCUCUCUCUCCUCCUCAUUCCACCACGACGCCCCACCACAACGCUUCCCUCGCCUCCCUUCCUCGUCAGUUGCCGCCGGUGUUGCGGAUUGUUGUUGAUCGCUGUAUUGCUUCUCCGCUUCCCCUCUCGUGCUGCUUUGUGUUGCCACCGCCGUUAGUGGUGGCCACUAGUCCACCAUUCACACCUCAUCCCUAAUCGCCACCGCCGCCGCCUCCCCUUUGCUGCUGCAUGCAGCCGCCGCCGCUGUGUUGUUGUUCUCGAUCUUGGGAUUGUUGAAUUCCCUUCUUACUCUUCCAAUUUAAUCAAGGUGAGUGGAGAACGAUUAAGGUGAAUCAAAGUACGGGGUUAUGCGGAGAGCCGUGACCAAGUGUGUAGCCUUGGAGUAUAUAUAUAUGUGGUGAUUCGAGAGUUAAAAUGUUUUGCAGGUAGCAAGAGUCGAGUCUCAUUUCAGAUUCAAGGUUCGUGGAGUUCUCCAAUGGCCUUGUGUGUCCAAGGUUGGAUUAUGGAUUCGCCAAAUGUAAUGUAGUUUCCUAGAGUUUGUUAAUUAGGCUGUAUAAUUUUCUUCUUAAAGUUUUUGGUUUAUAAUUUAUGGUUUAUAUAUCUGUAUUGGAGUCGUAGUUAAGUUAAUUUUCUUUGGUUUAAGGUUAAGUGUGCUUAGAAGUAGCUCAUUACGUGUGGGCUGUUAUAGUGACCCCUGGUGAUGUUUUGGGAUAUGUUAUAUGUUGGAUUGAUGUCAUUAAAGCAGGUGAAGGAGAAUCUGACGUAAUUUCCUAAAUAAUA